GUGUCAGCCGCCGCGGUAAUACGGAGGGUGCGAGCGUUAAUCGGAAUUACUGGGCGUAAAGGGCGCGUAGGCGGUCGCGCAAGUCGGGUGUGAAAGCCCCGGGCUCAACCUGGGAAUUGCAUUCGAUACUGCGUAACUAGAGUCUGGUAGAGGGAAGCGGAAUUCCGCAUGUAGCGGUGAAAUGCGUAGAUAUGCGGAGGAACACCAGUGGCGAAGGCGGCUUCCUGGACCAAGACUGACGCUGAGGCGCGAAAGCGUGGGGAGCAAACAGGAUUAGAUACCCUGGUAGUCCACGCCCUAAACGAUGAGGACUAGACGUUGGGGGGAUAAAACCCUUUAGUGUCGCAGCUAACGCGUGAAGUCCUCCGCCUGGGGAGUACGGCCGCAAGGUUGAAACUCAAAGGAUUAGGUCGG
rnacentral:rRNA from 1 species